rnacentral:rRNA from 1 species
UACGUAGGGUGCGAGCGUUGCCCGGAUUUAUUGGGCGUAAAGGGCGCGUAGGCGGUCACGCACGUCCGUUGUGAAAUCGCUCGGCUCAACUGGGCGGGGUCAGCGGAUACGGCGUGGCUGGAGCAAGCUAGGGGGCAAUGGAAUUCCCGGUGUAGUGGUGGAAUGCGUAGAUAUCGAGAGGAACACCUGUGGCGAAAGCGGCGCACUGGACCACAACUGACGCUGAGGCGCGAAAGCUAGGGGAGCAAACAGG